AACAAGAUCCUCUGUGCACACCAGAAACAAUCUGCUAUUGUCUCCAGGGAUGAAUGGUGCCAGUGAAAAAUGAAAACACCGAGCCAACAGGAGGAAUUCCACAUUAACUGCUUCACCUUUAAAGUUUUCACAGCCCAAUGAGCCAAAAGCCUACCGUCUGACCUGCUGACUGUGGAUUCAUCAGCCUCUGCAACCACAUGACUCGGGAGAAACCUCCAGCCUGACACCUGACCCAUGGAUUUGGAAUUUGUCAGCCUUCGUAACCACAGCUGGAGCGAGUCCAAUCAGGGCCCACAGCAGUAUCAGAGGUCAACAUGAGUUUCAUGACCAGAUGGAAGAGGAGCGCUGGCUGCUCGUAAUGUAUUUCAUACUUUACAACUUUGGGGAACUUAUUCUACCACUGCCUAUUAAUUCGGCCAGAUCCCUUUGUUCUUUCUUUCUUUAUUUUCUUUAAUUCAUUUCUUUUGACUCUUCAGGAAGAAUCAGAGAGAAAGAGUGACUGGUGUUUUGGUGACUUGGUCCCUAGUCUAAAUUAAAACAGAAAUGUUGGGACAGAGAGAGGCUGGGGGAUGGAUGACCAUAAUGUUUGCUAGUGUGUUCAGGACAGGCAGUGGUAUCUGAGCAGAGACAGGGACUGAUGAGAGGGACUCAGCCACAUGAAGAUCUGGGGGAAGGGGGAAAGCUUUCCAGACAAACAAAUAUUGAAGGCAAAAGCCCUAAAGUGAAAACAAGUUUAGUGUGCUCAAAUGACAGGAUCAAGUCCAGCAUGUCAGGAGUCUGCAGAACAAAGGCAAGAGGAGCUGGAGAUGAAGGCUAAGAGGUGUGCAGUGAGAAUCUUCUGGAAUGGUUGCUGAUGAUCCCCACCUCCCGAUAUUCACACCCCUGUGUAAUCCCCUUCCCUUGUGUGUGGGGGGCAGACUUAGUAGCUAAUUUCUGACAAGUAGAAUAUGGCAAAAGUGAUAGAAUGUUAUUUCUGAGAUUAGGUUGUAAAAAAAACCUGCAACUUCCAUCUUGCUCUGUCUCUCUGGGUCUUCUCAACUCACUCUAGUGAAGCAAGCUGCCAUGUUUUGAGCUGCUUGAAGGAGAGAUCCAUGUGCUAAGUAAGACACUGAGAGAAGCCUCUGGCCAAUAACCCAUAAGGGACUACACCUUGCCAAGAGCAAUGUAAGGGAGCUUGGAAGCUGGUCUCCCCCAAUUGAGGACUGAGAUGAUUGAGGCCCCAUUCAGCAUCUUGGUUGCAACUUGUGAGAAGCCCUCAAGCAGAAGACCCAGCUAAACUGAACUUGUAUCCCUUAUCUACAGAAACUGUGAGAUAAUAAAUGUUGUUUAAAGCCAAAGCUUCAGGGUGAUUUUGUUAUGCAAUAGAUAGCUAGUACAGGUAGGUAGAACCAGAUUAUGUAGAGGUUUAUAGGCAGGGGCAGAUUAACCAGUAAACACUGUGUGCACCAGCUUGCAUUGAGCAAGGUAGCGCGGACUUUAAUUGUAUUUACUUGCUAAUCUG